UUGUUGCUCAUUAGCUUUUAGAGUUGGUUCCAGAUGUCAAACAGAAACUAUUGCUGCUAUUUGGACUGCAAAGAUCUAUGUGGUUCGAUGUAACCAGACACACUCAUAGAGUUUCUCUUUAAUGUUACUAACAGCUGCAUUUGGAGCGGUCCUGCAUGUGGUUUCAACCUCACUGCUUGGCAUUGCUGCAAUUACCAUGGCCACUACAAUUGCUGGUGAGGAAACAGUGCAUAGGCUUGCAUCCUUGCUUCUCAUAAUUCUUGAAGGAAGUUAUGUUCUGCUAUUCUUAUUUGGUAAGGGAGGCCACAGUCCCUCCCACAACCAUCCUUUGGAGAACAUGGCUGUGGCUGGACUUAUUCUUGUACCAGCAUUAUCUCCUUGUGCAACAACACUUCCUGUUUUCCUUACUGUUGGCAACUCCUCAUCUAUGAUGGUGCUAGCUAUUGUUGUGCUUCUAUUCAAGUAUGCCUCUAUAUGUACUUUGGUUUUGUAAAAGGAACAUGAUGAAAUGAAUUGGGUGCAUUUCAGAAGAUAUGCCUCUACAUGUACCACCAGCAGAGUUUUACUCUAGUUUGAGCUCUAGAGCUUGAGCUUAGAACUUAGGACUUGGGAGUGAGAACUUACCUAAAGGAUCUCUUGGCUCUCUAUUUAUAGAGGAGCUGAUGAGACCAUUAGAGAGUUUGUUAGGCCAUUGAAAGAGUUUGUUAGACCGUUAAAGACCAGCUGUAAGUGAGCUAGAGCAUAAAUGUAUAUAUUAGCUGGAAAUGAAGUCAUACUUAGCUGUAUGUGCCAGCUAGGAAUGAGCUAUAGUAUGGCUGUAUGUGAGAUCAUGGCCAACUGUGGCUUAGUUGUAAAAAUUAUGGUGGGCUCUCGUAGAAUGACUGCUGCCACUAAUGUUAUGGUUCACCUCGAUAAAAGACCGAGGUAAGAUCAAGUAUCAUAUAAGACUCCGAACAUUUCGGAUAUAUGAAACACUUUGCUUCAGAUUAGUAUUUAUAUAAGUUGAAAUGAGUCAGACCAAUAUUUAUAUGAGCUAAUCAUAAUACUUCACCAGAAGUCAAUUUAGGUAGCUCAGGUCGGUGUUUAGAUAAGCUGAGUUAAGCCAGAUCAGCAUUCAGUCUCUAAUUUAGGUCGGCAUUCAGCCUCCAAUUCAGGUUGGCUUUAUAUGAACUCAACCUCCAAUUUAGGAUGGCUUUCUUAUGAACUCAGCAUCUGGUUCAAGUCGGCUUUCUUAUGAGCUCGGUUUUUGAUUCAGAUCGUUUUUCUUAUGAUCUGAGGUGGGAUAACCCCCACAACAGAUCUGGUUGUUUAGUGGUUCUUAUUAAGAGACGGGAAUGUAAAUAGAAAACAUCAUAUUGUUGCUCAUUAGCUUUUAGAGUUAGUUCUAGAUGUCAAACAAAAACUAUUGCUGCUAUUUGGACUGCAAAGAUCUAUGUGGUUCCAUUGUUGCGGCUAACCAGGCACACUCACAGAGUUUCUUUUUAAUUUUACUAACAGCUGUAUUUGGAGUGGUCCUGCAUGUGGUUUCAACCUCACUGCUUGGCAUUGCUGCAAUUACCAUGGCCACUACAAUUGCU
rnacentral:lncRNA from 1 species